rnacentral:misc_RNA from 1 species
ACUUUAUUUCCCUAUUAUUCACUUUUACUAUUGAUUGGUGUUCCCUUCGUUUUCCAUUGUUCCUUCAGGUUACUGACCAGACCUCUAUUCAGAGGAUUCUUAAUUUCCUAAAUUAUAUUUUUCAAACAGGCAUAAUUGUUUUGGUAUAAGGAACUUGCAUUAAACAGAUCUCACCAAGAAUGUCCCGCUAUCGUGAAUGGGACCUUUCUUGUAAGGUUUAUGUAGGUAAUUUGGGUUCUUCAGCAAGCAAACAUGAAAUAGAGAACGCGUUCAGCAAAUAUGGUCCUCUGAGGAAUGUUUGGGUUGCCCGAAACCCGCCUGGGUUUGCAUUUGUUGAGUAUGAAGAUCCAAGGGACGCUGAUGAUGCAGUCAGAGGCCUUGAUGGGACUCGUUGUGGUGGAGCAAGAAUCCGGGUUGAAAUGUCCAGUGGUAGAUCUAGGAGGGGCGGUGGAGGCAGAAGGAGAGAUAGGUACUCGCCCAGGGAUCGGAUGCCUACGUCAACAAUGGCGCUGUUUCACCACCAACUCAUCCCUCCCUGAGACAACACAUCACCCCCUACAGUUCCCCCGUUGGAUUUAUUUGAAUACAACACCACCACCACCGACAUCCAUCAUCUUUAAAAACAUCGCGUGAAAAAGCGCCUAUAAAUCCGAUCUGGCGUCAAUCCCUUUGAAAUUUUCUCGGAACAACAACAAAAGUUUUCCCUGUCCUGGCGCCGCUGCACAACCAACCAAUUCCAACUCCUUUACGACGUAGCUUCGCCUGCAUGGGUCACACAUCACAAAUGAAAUUUCAGCUCUAAAUAUCUGCUUUCUACUACCUCUACUCGACGCAAUACAAAGUCUGAUCUCGUAGUCCAAGAAGGGAUAGAUCCAGGUCACGUGACAGAUCCCGCGAUAGAUCUAGGGACAGAUCACGAGACCGUGACCGUGAUCGCAGGUCCGACUCGAGGGACCGCAGGAGCGAUUCACGUGAUAGACGUUAAGGAAACUCGACCCGAUGUAAUUACCAUUCUAAGGGAUGACAGAAUAGUAAAUAUUAAAAUAA